AUGUCCAUGCUGCUGAUCCCUGCAUACACUCCAGUUAGGAGAAGAGCACCCCCAGUCACAAAAACCGUGAAAACCUGGCCAGUAGGUGCAUCACAUCAGCUGCAGGACUGUUUUGAAAACACGGACUGGAGCGUGUUCGAACAUCAGGACCUUGAAGAGCACACAACAUCAGUGCUCUCAUAUAUUAACUUCUGUGUCAACAGUGUCACUGUGGACAAACGUCUCCGGGUGUAUUCCAACCAGAAACCCUGGAUGACUAAAGAGGUCCAGGUCCUGCUGAAGCAGCGUGACGCCGCUCUUAGAUCUGGUGAUGGUAUGCAGUACAGUGCAGCCAGAUCUGAGUUGAAAAGAGGCAUCAGAGAAGCCAAGGCAGCGUACAAGAGAAGGAUCGAAGACCACUUCAGCAACAACAACUCACGACAGGUAUGUCAGGGAGUUCAGCACUUAACCAACUACAAACCUUGCAAUACCACGUUGACUGAGGGUAAUGCGGUGCUUGCGGAGGAGCUGAACCACUUCUUCGCACGCUUUGAGGUGAAGGGACCAGAGGCAGCAGCAGCAAAAACAUCUGACAGCAGCAGCAGCCCAAGCCUCAUAGUGCAGGAAUAUGAGGUGAGGCGCACACUGAGGGCAGUGAACCCCAGGAAGGCCGCUGGACCAGACGGGGUAACCGCAAGGGUCCUUAAAGAGUGUGCAGACCAGCUGGCUGGGGUCUUCACUAAGAUCUUCAACACUUCACUGUCCCAGUCCUGCAUCCCGCCGUGCCUAAAGUCAGCCACAAUUGUCCCACUGCCAAAGUGUACUAACAUUAGCCGCCUCAACGACUACCGACCAGUUGCUCUAACACCUGUUAUAAUGAAGUGCUUCGAGAAACUGAUCCGACGUCACAUCAUGUCCUGCUUGCCACCCAACCUCGACCCGCUCCAGUUCGCAUACAGAGCUAACAGAUCAACUGAAGAUGCCAUUGCUACAAUACUCCACACCACCAUCUAUUCAAUUCAAUUCAAUUUUAUUUAUAUAGCGCCAAAUCACAACAAAAGUCGCCUCAAGGCGCUUUAUAUUGUACAAUAG
rnacentral:lncRNA from 1 species